UGAAGACGAGCAACAGGGAUUGCCCUAGUAACGGCGAGUGAAGCGGCAACAGCUCAAAUUUGAAAUCUGGCCCCCCCCCCGCGGGGGCCCGAGUUGUAAUUUGCAGAGGAUGCUUCUGGCGCGGCGCCUUCCGAGUUCCCUGGAACGGGACGCCAUAGAGGGUGAGAGCCCCGUCUGGUCGGCCGCCAAGCCUCUGUGAAGCUCCUUCGACGAGUCGAGUAGUUUGGGAAUGCUGCUCAAAAUGGGAGGUAUAUGUCUUCUAAAGCUAAAUACCGGCCAGAGACCGAUAGCGGACAAGUAAAGUGAUCGAAAGAUGAAAAGCACUUUGAAAAGAGGGUUAAACAGUACGUGAAAUUGUUGAAAGGGAAGCGCUCGCGACCAGACUCGGGCCCGGCGGAUCAUCCGGCGUUCCUCGCCGGUGCACUCCGCCGGCGCCCGGGCCAGCAUCGGCUCGCCGCGGGGGAUAAAGGCGGCGGGAACGUGGCCCCUCCGGGGGUGUUAUAGCCCGCCGCGCAAUGCCCCGCGCCGCGGGCCGAGGACCGCGCCCUAGGCAAGGAUGCUGGCGUAAUGGUCGCUAGCGACCCGUCUUGAAACACGGACCAAGGAGUCGUCUUCGUAUGCGAGUGUUCGGGUGUCAAACCCCUACGCGUAAUGAAAGUGAACGCAGGUGAGAGCCCUCGCGGGCGCAUCACCGACCGA
rnacentral:rRNA from 1 species